UACGUAGGGCGCGAGCGUUGUCCGGAUUUAUUGGGCGUAAAGGGCGCGUAGGCGGCCACGACAAGUCACUUGUGAAAUCUCCGGGCUUAACUCGGAAAGGUCAAGUGAUACUGUCGGGCUAGAGUACAGAAGGGGCAACUGGAAUUCUCGGUGUAGCGGUGAAAUUCGUAGAUAUUGGGAAGAACACCGAUGGCGAAGGCAGCCAUCUGGACCGACACUGACGCUGAGGCGCGAAAGCGUGGGGAG
rnacentral:rRNA from 1 species